rnacentral:rRNA from 1 species
GAUGAACGCUGGCGGCGUGCCUAAUACAUGCAAGUCGAGCGAACAGACGAGGAGCUUGCUCCUCUGACGUUAACGGCGGACGGGUGAGUAACACGUGGAUAACCUACCUAUAAGACUGGGAUAACUUCGGGAAACCGGAGCUAAUACCGGAUAAUAUAUUGAACCGCAUGGUUCAAUAGUGAAAGACGGUUUUGCUGUCACUUAUAGAUGGAUCCGCGCCGCAUUAGCUAGUUGGUAAGGUAACGGCUUACCAAGGCAACGAUGCGUAGCCGACCUGAGAGGGUGAUCGGCCACACUGGAACUGAGACACGGUCCAGACUCCUACGGGAGGCAGCAGUAGGGAAUCUUCCGCAAUGGGCGAAAGCCUGACGGAGCAACGCCGCGUGAGUGAUGAAGGUCUUCGGAUCGUAAAACUCUGUUAUUAGGGAAGAACAAAUGUGUAAGUAACUAUGCACGUCUUGACGGUACCUAAUCAGAAAGCCACGGCUAACUACGUG